rnacentral:rRNA from 1 species
UACGGAGGUCUCAAGCGUUGUUCGGAUUCAUUGGGCGUAAAGGGUGCGUAGGCGGCUCGGUAAGUCGGGUGUGAAAUCUUGGAGCUUAACUCCGAAACUGCAUUCGAUACUGCCGUGCUUGAGGACUGGAGAGGAGACUGGAAUUUACGGUGUAGCGGUGAAAUGCGUAGAUAUCGUAAGGAAGACCAGUGGCGAAGGCGGGUCUCUGGACAGUGCCUGACGCUGAGGCACGAAGGCCAGGGGAGCAAACGGG